AGGCAGCUUCUGCUAGUGUUUAGGUACUAGUGCAGUGUAGAACCCUUUUCUCAGGCAAAACCUAACAUCUGACCGCACCCUUUUUGCUAUUAAAAAAAAAAAAAAGCUUCUAUUUUUUUCCUCCUGUCGUUAAGAUAAAUUCUCCAGUAGACAACCUCUCCCACUAAUUGUGUAUUAGCAACGUAUUUUAUCUUGAGAGCUUGUACACUGGGCUCUCAACGUGGUGUGGAAGGUAGCCUGUUACAGUGCUGGAUUCAUAAAAGGGCCUUUAUGGUUUGUGAAAGAAUAUCUGUGUGCUUAGGGAGGAAACUUUUUGAUCUGCAGAAAAGCCAGAAGACAUCUAGGACAUCCAUAAAAAUUCAUCAGAGAGCAUUUUACUACUGAGCUGCAAAGGGAAAAACUUAAAAUGGAUAUGAAAAGUGAAGAAAGUGAUCAUAGGAGAAAACCAUUUCAGGUGUCUGAUGAUUUGUGAGCCUCAAGUGACUACUCUGUGGAAUCAUCUGUCCUUGCCUUUGAAUUAGCUUUCCCUAGGCCAUGAGUCAACAUUAGUAGUUUAUACAUCCAAAUUGAUGACAAGAGCACCUCAAAGGCAGCAGCCUCAAGGAGCAGCCAUGGCCCCAGACUUGUCGCACGGAUGCAGAAAACUUAAUGGAGGAGGCUGAGGUCAGAAUGGGAAGAGUUUUUAAAAAAUAAAAAGGGGAGCUAAUAUGUGAGGAA
rnacentral:lncRNA from 10 species